CAAAGUUUCCAGGAAACGGGCGGCUCUAGGUCCCACCUAUUGAAAGCAACCACCCAAAAAAAAAAAAAAAAAAAAAAAAAAAAAGAAAAGCAGCAGCCCCGGAGUCCCCCGGGAUGGCACCAGCGGAGUCACCCGGGACCCCACAGCUCUCGGGAGCUGACGGCUGUGUGGCACGGCUGGUACAUGGAGAGAAGCCAUCCCACAGCUCCCAUGUAGCCCGGGCUGUGCUCCAGGCAGCUCAGGGAUGAGUCUGGCACACCUGUCAAGGGAACCCCAUCGGCGAGUGGGGAAGAGGAGCAUCCUCCAAGCAGCUGGGCCCUGCUCCCAUAAGAGCACCCAGGAAGUCUCGUGGGAUUAGCUCAAGGAAUCUCCUGCCCCUGCACCUGACAGGAGAAGCCAGAGAGCCAGGCAAAAGAGGAGGCAGUCCCUUCUCAGGGCCCUGAUCUGCCACUGUGUUUCCUGUCCAGGCUUUCUGCCCUUGGACCUUUCUCCUCAAGUUUUGUCUUAUGUGUACUUGUGUACAGUUCCUAGAAUGGACUGGAGACCUUACUCUGGAAAAUCCUUGAUGAAGGGCAAAGCCCAGCACCUCAUUCCAUGUUGCCCCACUGGGGCCCUGGUGCAGCCACCUGGUCCCCGGUGCUGAACCCAGCUGGGUGCCCACCACCUCCAUGCCCAGCACUACCCAUCUGGACUUCCUCCCCGUCCAAACACCGAGGCAAGGAGCCACAACAGCACAGGAGGAUCCAUCCAGCUCUGAAUGCUGCCAUGAGAGAUGAGCCAGAACUGCCUCCAACAGUCUUUUAAAUCCUCCCAUGGGUGGUGACUCCCCCAUUGCCUGGGCAGCCUGUGCCAGUGCUUGACAACUCAUUCAGUGAAGAAAUUUUUCUCUAGUAUCCAGUCUAACCCUCCCCUGGCACCAUUUGAGGCUGUUUCCUGUUGUCUUAUCACCCAGGACUUCAUCCAGUGGUAGGGACUGCGUGAGCCAGUGUCAGGAGAGAACCAGGGACUGAUAGAGGCACCAGACACAGCCCAAGUUGUGCUGGGGAAUAUUUUGGCCUGGAAUGACUGACUAAAAAUGUUUUCAUGGAGUGUCACAAAGCACUUCAUCACUGGGGGAGGCUUUAUGGGGUAACCAUGGUGCAGCAGCUCCAAGUUCAUCGGCGAAGCUGCAUCCGGGCCGGCCAGGAGCCCAUAGGAAUCCAAAAGCAGCCCCUCCACCCGCUGGGAGGGAGUUGGAACAAAGGCAUUAGGGAGCAUAAGGAGAUUUACAUUUGCAAAGCUAUUUCCAUUUUAAUAAGCCAAAGUGCUGUUAAAUAGAGAUUGAUAUUUCUCCCCAAAUACCCAUAUUUUUAAACUGGUUUACAUCAACAAGGCCGGCUGGGCUUUGGGGUUUUGGUGUGGUAAAGUUGUUUAACCCAUGCCCGAAGCCACAGGGUGACUCAGCUCUAGCUCCUUUCUCCCCGCUGCUCAGGAAGGAGAGGUUUGAGCCUGGGACCAGUCCUGAAUACCAAUUCUUCUGCCUCUCCGCAGCCCUUGCUGUCACCAGCUUUGGCAGGGCACGAUGCAAGCGCUCAGCCUGGCCGAGAGCGGGGGCCGCGCUCAGCACAGAGCCCGGGGCAACCGCACGUGCCGGCUGCGGUGAGGAACGAUCCAAUCGGUCUGCGAGCGUCCCCUGCGCUGGCACGGCUCACACAGCAGCUCCCAGCCGCUGCACGCAAUCCCCCUCACAAACUUUGCAGGGAAGUUUAAGCAUCGCAGGAAGCAGCCCCACACACACCUGCCCAAGCGGCCACGGCCACGUCCUCCUCUACACCUGAUAUCCAGCCUUGUCCAACCUCCACCUUCACAUCUGUCUCUGCCUUCCCACCCACCUCUGUCCUGACACGCACCUCCACACCCACCUCUGCCUUUGCGCCUCCCUCCCCCUUCACUCCCGACCUCCCCGUGCUGUCGCUCCAGCUGCCCACCCUCUGCCCACCCGGUGCCCGCGGGAUCGGCAGCCACAGGGAGGGGAAGUGGCAGGGAGAGGGAUUACCCCA